AUUGAACGCUGGCGGCAGGCCUAACACAUGCAAGUCGAACGAGUGGCGGACGGGUGAGUAAUGUAUGGGAAAAUGCCUGAUGGAGGGGGAUAACUACUGGAAACGGGAGCUAAUACCGCAUACCAUCGGAUGUGCACAGAUGGGAUUAGCUAGGAGGGGGGGUAAAGGCUCACCUAGGCGACGGUCCAUAGCUGGUCUGAGAUGAUGACCAGCCACACUGGAACUGCGACACGGUCCAGACUCCUACGGGAGGCAGCAGUGGGGAAUAUUGCACAAUGGGCGCAAGCCUGAUGCAGCCAUUCCGCGUGUAUGAAGAAGGCCUUCGGGUUGUAAAGUACGUUCAGCGGGGAGGCGUUACCCGCAGAAGAAGCACCGGCUAACUCCGUGCCAGCAGCCGCGGUAAUUC
rnacentral:rRNA from 1 species